UACUUAGGGUGCAAGCGUUGUCCGGAAUUAUUGGGCGUAAAGAGCUCGUAGGCGGUUUGUUGCGUCGGCUGUGAAAUCCCGAGGCUCAACCUCGGGUCUGCAGUCGAUACGAGCAAACUAGAGUGUUGCAGGGGAGACUGGAAUUCCUGGUGUAGCGGUGAAAUGCGCAGAUAUCAGGAGGAACACCGGUGGCGAAGGCGGGUCUCUGGGCCGAUACUGACGCUGAGGAGCGAAAGCGUGGGGAGCGAACAGG
rnacentral:rRNA from 1 species